rnacentral:lncRNA from 1 species
UCUAAAAAAAUUAUUUAAUUAAUUUUAAAAGCCAAAUAAUUUUUUUUUUUGGAUAAACUUCAAAUACCAUUCAUGUGGUUUCGCAUUUUCUCACUUUGGUGCCAUAUGGUUUAAAGUGUAUCAAAUUAGUAUCCUGUGAUUUUAUUUUUAUCUUUUCGUCAACUUCUCCAUUAAUAUUUUGUUAAAGUAUAUAUAAAAAACUUCAGAUGCCCCAUCUAAGUUUGUUGAAUAUUUACUUUUAUACCCUUUAGUUUAAACUUUGUCACUGAACUAACGAAAAAAUUAGUGAAAUAGAUAGAAAUGAAAUCACAAAAUACUAAAUUGAUACACUUUAAAUCAUAUGGUACUAAAGUAAAAAAAUGUGAAAUUUGCAAUCUGCUUUGUUUAUUAUUUUUAAAAGUAAAUAUAGCGAAAUAUGUGAAUAAAUUAGGAUUCGAACUUGAGAUCUCACAUACUAACCACCAAGUCCUUUGCUACUCAACUAAAAAUAGUUAAUUAAAGAGCCAAAUAUUGAUUUGACAUUUAACACUAUUUAAUGUGUCGCUGCUAUUUAAUGUGUUACUGCUAUUUAAUAUAAUUUAGAAUAUUUGAAGCCUAUAAAAUGGUAUAUUAUAACUUUUUAAUAUCAUUUGCCUAUUCAUCCAAAGAAUGUCAAAAUCGAUAACUUCCAUAAAUAAUAUGAAAAAUUAUUUUAAUGAUAAAUAAGAACUCGGUUUAGUUAAAUUUUUGUAACAAAAUUUUCUAGAUUACUUAUAUCAAAGAUCCCAAUUUGACCUUAAAUUGAAAAUUCCUAAACUUUAAAUACUACCAUAUGGGUUCCCUUUUUUUCACUUUAAUAAUUCAUUAUGAUUUUAACUGUAAUAUUUAAAUACCAUGUGGUUUCCUUUUUUUUUUUUUUUUAUUACACCUUUCGUAAACUUUCCUAAUAGAACAGUUACAUGCUGCGCACGUGUAUCGUAAAUUGUCACUUUCUUGCUGAUGGAAACUCAUCAAUCACAAUCAAGAUUAAGGUUUUCAUCAACCUUUGAGAGGACAAUUCUGAAAUAUGUAUGACAUGUAACGUGUAACGCGAAAAUAAAAACAACAUGAUAUUUCAGUAAUACAAUUACACUCACAAAAUAAUAAAAUAAAAAAGAUAAACCACAAAGGAAUGUCUAAAGUUUCUCCUAUUAUUUACGGGGUUUUAUCCAAUAUGAGCUAUUCAUUCUCUAUGGUUUGCUCGAUGCACUGAGAAGAAUUAUUAAGAGCUCAUUUGGCAUUGACUAUUGAAGGCAAUCUAAUGCUAAUGCUAUUGGGUUAGAAAGAAUUGGCGAGGAAAUAUACAAAAAUAUAUUUCUCUACUUUAGCUAAUGCGGUAAAAAAUAAUGUCGUAACUAUAUAGUUGUGAUCUAUACAACAUAUAACAACAUGUUCUUUCUCCAAUUCCAAACUGAGCCUAAGUAACAGGUAUUUUACUGUUCGCGGCAAAUUUUGCAGUAACUUCAACCACCUUGAUUGGGAAACGAAUUCCCUCAGCAUAAUCCUGAUAAUAAGAUUUGCAUAAAUUGCACCACUAGACCCUGAACUUAAAUUCAAGUUUCAUUUUGAGCUUUCGACAAAAUUUUGUUCGAGUCCCUUUUAGAAUACAUGCUGUUGCUUGCACCAAGUUCAUCUGUAUGUCGAUAUACUACAAAUAUAUACAUAUGUUCUUUCAUCUGCCUUAGAUUUUUAAUUUAAUAAUCUAAUUUUUAUUGGGGAAUAGUUUAUAACUCAAAGCGUGAUAGGAUUGAAAUAUGAGAUAAAAUAAAAAUUUGACAAAUGCCGAUGCAAUUGAGUGUAAGUAUUAUAUAUCUGCUGAUGUUGAUAUAUGCACAGAAAUUAAAGUGAAAUUCUUUUUAGCCAUUUAGAAUCUCUAACGUCGAAGUUGAAAGUUCAAAGAGUAAAAUUAAAAUAAAACCUGGGCAAAGGACAAGUGCCAGUGGUGCAGUUUCAUGAAGGGGGACUCCCAGUUACGGCCUUAAAAGUUGUUAAUGUAUUGGCAUGCGUAAUAUAAUGAACCCUAUGUGUAAAACCGAAGCAUUUUUCAUUUGAAAUUUUGGAAAAAUUCUUUAAUAAUUAAGGGUACCUUACUUCAUUUUUCUUUUCAAUUCAUUUAAUGUUUCCAUGUGUACAAGAUUGCACAUGAUUUUUACCCGCAGAAGCACGUUGAGACCUAGUUUGACACCAUUACCUUUUUUUUCUGAGUUUUUCUCUUAAAUUGUCAUUAUUGGUUAGUUUAAAAUACGCCACGACCAAAUGAGUUUGACUAACUUUGAAAAAAAAAAUUCAAAAACUUAAAAAAGAAGAGAAAAAUUUUCAGAAAUACUAUUAAUAGCAAAAAAUCAUUUUUACUAUCAAAUUUUCAACCCUUAGUUGAAAAUUUGUAGAAUUAGGAUAAUAUUAAUUCCUUUUAGAGUUGAGUGGUCCCCCUGAAUUACAAUAUUUAAUCCAAUUGUUAGAAAUGAUGAAAAAAAUUGAUCCAAAGGCUAAAAACUUGAUAGCAAAAAGAACUUUUUAUUAUCAAUAGUAUUCUAACCCAACUCUAUCUAUCUAUCUAUAUAUAUAUANACCAAUUCAAAAUAGACCCAGAUCAUGGGUCUACAUAAACGGAACAUGUGGGCCAUGAUACGUAUAAAUAAAGGAUGAGACAUACACUACUGUAAUACUAAAUUAAGGCCUAUUAAAUGAGAGCAUUACUAUUGAGCCAUGAUUACAUUGCCAUGGUACUCUCUCUCUUUUCUUUUUCUUCUGUUUUUUUUGGUACCCCACGUGUGGAGACUCCAUUAAUUGCCAAACAAAAUUUUGCUAAAGCUUAGCCUAAAAAAGCUUAUUACAUGACAAAGUGCUUCUUUGGUUGGUUUCUUAAUAAAAAUUUCUCUUAUCCAAGCAACAUAAUUUAGACAUUUGAUACAAAAAUACUACUAUUAGAGAAAAAACUGUAUCUAAUUCAGAGAUUCCACAUCAAUUAUAACAAAAAAAAUACUAAAGAGAAUGAUCAAUAUAUAUUAUAGAUAUACUUUCUUAUAUAAUACCACUUAAACAAUCCUUCAAUAGAAACUCUUAUGCAUCCGCACAAAAGAAAAGAGUGGAUAAAUUUUUGAAGCAAAGUAUUUUGCAUUUUCCAAGAUUAGGUAUAGGUGACUGAGUACGUAUAGUACUUUGAAUUGCCAGUAUAAACUAAUCAAAAUUUGCUAAAUCUCGUAUAUCAGUUGAUCAGUCGUCUGUAAAAAUAAUAUUGUAUAUAUCAGCAAACUAUAAAAACAACAUCUAGGGACCCACGACACUACGACACUCCUCAUCUUUGAAUAGAUGAAGAGGACAUGUACCUCCAACCGGUUUUUCCGGUUCUCAGUGCAAAGAUCACUUCUCCAAAGCAGCCACAAAACCUAAAAACUAAUCAUUGAGAGAGUGGUGUUAACUCUAAUCCAACGCACUAAUCAAGUUGCUUUUGCUUUGUUGCACCAUCAUUGCUUCAGCCUCAAAUUGUGUAGCUGAGGCCUCUUGUGCGGGCCUCGCUGAACCUUAAACGAAAAAAAGGUUUUUUGGGUUCAAACCACCGACCCAAAAUACUUAAAUUCAAUUAUUAUAGCUAGCGUGUGAAACUACUGAGGGGUCGGAUCCAAACUAGAUUACAGAUGCAGACCAGAAUUACCAAGCAAACUAGAUUACAAAUGCAUAUCAGAAUUACCAGGAUUUACAGAUGCAGACCAGAAUUACCAGACAAUGUGAAACUAGUGAGGAAAUUUUCAGAUGUAGACCAGACAAUGUGAAACUAUUGAGGGAAUUUACAAAUGCAAACCAGAAUUACCAGACAAUGUGGAACUAUUGAGGGGACAAUGUGAAACCAGACAAUGUGGAACUAUUGAGAGGACAAUGUGAAACUAGUGAGGGAAUUUUCAGAUGGAGACCAGACAAUGUGAAACUAUUGAGGGAAUUUACAGAUGCAGACCAGAAUUACCAAACAAUGUGGAACUAUUGAGAGGUCGGGUCCAAACUAGAUUACAUAUGCAGACCAGAAUUACGAGGCAAUGUGAGAGCUUCGAGAAAUCAGUUAGUGUAGCAUUUUGUCCUGCAUAGGGACUUAACUCUCACACUUUUGGCUUGUAUUCGGCUCUGAUAUCAAUUAUAACGAUCCGACCCGCUUGCAAUCAUAAUUCGUUGGGCCCAAACCACCGAUCCAAAAUGCUUAAGCCCAGUUAUAUUACUAGCAAGUAGGUCUCAUAUAUUCUAAUCAGAAUCAGUUUUCCAUCUGAUGUGGAACUAUUAGGGCGUUACAGAUAAGGGGAUGAUUGGUUUGACGUAAAAAUGUGAAAAGUAAUUUUCGACGAAAAAGAGUUUUUAAUGAAAAAAUAAUUUUACGCUUUUUGAUAUUUGAUUUGUUGUAAAAGAAAAAUAAACUUUAUGCCCCACAUGUUCAAUGUUUGGUUCGUAGAAAAAAAAUCUAAGAAUUUACUUUUUUAUUAUUAUUUGAUUAUAUAAAAAAUAUUUUAAAUUUUUACUUAAAAUUAUAUUAUUUAAAAACUUAAAUAAUAUUAUUUUUUUAUGCAUAUAUUAUGGUGCUUAAUUACCGUCAAAAUUGGAUGUGGUCCAUGAGGCCAUGCGGACACUCCUCACGUAGUCCGCGUAUUUUUCUUCUUCCAUUUUUAUUUUCCGCUGUUUUAGAACAAAAAACAAAAUAUCAAUUUUUUGCAAAAUCUGUAAAAAAAAAUUUUAUGUGAAAAUAUUUUACCAGCAACCAAACACUCAAAAAUUUGUUUUCCAAAGCGAAAAUACUUUUCAGCUAAUUUUUGCAACGAUCCAAACAUUCCUUAAGAAAAUAACUUAUAAAAUUAUAUUUUAAUCUAUUUUUGCACGAUAGAAAAGUUACAUGUAAUCAAAUCCUUGUGAUCUACGCAACAUAAUAUUUUUUCACAAAAAAAUAAAAUACUUUCUUGUUCUAUUGAACACACUUUUUUUUAUAAUUUCAAAUGAAGCCUUACUUCUUUUUUUAAAAAAAUCUACUUACUAUUUCUACUAGUACAGCUACUUUGGAAUAUCCAACAAGUACAACAGAUUAACAGCACCACUACUGAGCACUUCGUUCUAAAAAAAAAAAAAAAAUUAAUUUUAAAAGCCAAAUAAAUUUUUUUUUUGGAUAAACUUCAAAUACCAUUCACGUGAUUUUACACUUUUUUACUUUAGUGCCAUAUGGUUUAAAGUGUAUCAAAUUAGUAUCCUGUGGUUUCAUUUUUACCUUUUCGUCAGCUUCUCCGUUAAUAUUUCGUUAAAGUAUAUAUAAAAAACUUCAGAUGCCCCACAUAAGUUUGUCGAAUAUUUACUUUUGUACCCUUUAAUUUUAACUUUGUCACUGAUUUAACGAAAAAAAAUGGUGAAAUAGAUAGAAAUAAAAUCACAGGAUACUAAAUUGAUACACUUUAAAUCACAUGGUACUAAAGUAAAAAAAUGUGAAAUUUGCAACCCGCUUUGUUUAUUAUUUUUAAAAGUAAAUAUAGCGAAAUAUGUGAAUAAACUAGAAUUCGAACUUGAGAUUUCACAUACUAACCACCAAAUCCUUUGCUACUCAACUAAAAAUAGUUAAUUAAAG